rnacentral:rRNA from 1 species
CCUACGGGUGGCAGCAGUGAGGAAUAUUGGUCAAUGGACGAGAGUCUGAACCAGCCAAGUAGCGUGAAGGAUGACUGCCCUAUGGGUUGUAAACUUCUUUUAUAUGGGAGUAAAACGUUCCACGUGUGGGAUGUUGUAUGUACCAUAUGAAUAAGGAUCGGCUAACUCCGUGCCAGCAGCCGAGGUAAUACGGAGGAACCGAGCGUUAUCCGGAUUUAUUGGGUUUAAAGGGAGCGUAGGUGGAUUGUUAAGUCAGUUGGGAAAGUUUGGGGCCUAACCGUAAAAUUGCCGUUGAAACUGGCAGUCUUGAGUGCGGGAGAGGUGUGCGGAAUGCGUGGUGUAGCGGUGAAAUGCUUAGAUAUCACGAAGAACUCCGAUUGCGAAGGCAGCUCACUGGUCUGCAACUGACACUGAGGCACGAAAGUGUGGGUAUCAAACAGGAUUAGAUACCCCUGUAGUC